UACGGAGGGUGCAAGCGUUGUUCGGAAUUACUGGGCGUAAAGAGCGUGUAGGCGGUUUGGAAAGUCAGGCGUGAAAGCCCUGGGCUCAACCCAGGAAGUGCGUUUGAAACUACCUUACUAGAGUAUGGGAGAGGAGAGUGGAAUUCCCAGUGUAGAGGUGAAAUUCGUAGAUAUUGGGAGGAACACCCGUGGCGAAGGCGACUCUCUGGACCAAUACUGACGCUGAGACGCGAAAGCGUGGGGAGCAAACAGGAUUAGAUACCCUGGUAGUCCACGCCGUAAACGAUGAGCACUAGGUGUAGCGGGUAUUGACCCCUGCUGUGCCGAAGUUAACGCAUUAAGUGCUCCGCCUGGGGAGUACGGCCGCAAGGCUAAA
rnacentral:rRNA from 1 species